rnacentral:rRNA from 1 species
GACGAACGCUGGCGGCGUGCUUAACACAUGCCAGUCGAACGGAAAGGCCCUGCUUUUGUGGGGUGCUCGAGUGGCGAACGGGUGAGUAACACGUGAGUAACCUGCCCUUGACUUUGGGAUAACUUCAGGAAACUGGGGCUAAUACCGGAUAGGAGCUCCUGCUGCAUGGUGGGGGUUGGAAAGUUUCGGCGGUUGGGGAUGGACUCGCGGCUUAUCAGCUUGUUGGUGGGGUAGAGGCUUACCAAGGCUUUGACGGGUAGCCGGCCUGAGAGGGUGACCGGCCACAUUGGGACUGAGAUACGGCCCAGACUCCUACGGGAGGCAGCAGUGGGGAAUAUUGCACAAUGGGCGGAAGCCUGAUGCAGCAACGCCGCGUGCGGGAUGACGGCCUUCGGGUUGUAAACCGCUUUCGCCUGUGACGAAGCGUGAGUGACGGUAAUGGGUAAAGAAGCACCGGCUAACUACGUG